rnacentral:rRNA from 1 species
AACGAACGCUGGCGGUGUGGAUAAGACAUGCAAGUCGAACGCUCAUUUCAGGGUAGCAAUAUUCUGGAGUGGGAGUGGCGCAAGGGUGCGUAACACGUGGGUAAUUUGCCAUGAAGUUGGGGAUAACUCCGAGAAAUCGGAGCUAAUACCGAAUGUGAUAACUUGGGGGCAUCUCCGAGUUGUUAAAGUUGGGGACCGUAAGGCCUGACGCUUUUUGAUAAGCCCGCGACCUAUCAGCUAGUUGGUGAGGUAACGGCCCACCAAGGCUAAGACGGGUAGCUGGUCUGAGAGGACGACCAGCCACACUGGAACUGAGACACGGUCCAGACACCUACGGGUGGCAG